UACGAAGGGGGCUAGCGUUGCUCGGAAUCACUGGGCGUAAAGGGUGCGUAGGCGGGUCUUUUAAGUCAGGGGUGAAAUCCUGGAGCUCAACUCCAGAACUGCCUUUGAUACUGAGGAUCUUGAGUUCGGGAGAGGGAUGCGGAAUUCCCGGUGUAGCGGUGAAAUGCGCAGAUAUCGGGAAGAACACCCGUGGCGAAGGCGGCACUCUGGGACGGUACUGACGCUGAGACGCGAAAGCGUGGGGAGCGAACAGG
rnacentral:rRNA from 1 species